AAAUUGGAAACAAAAGGAAAAAGUCUUUGAAUGUAUGCACAAUGAAAACAUCAAUGAAUAGGGAAGACUUCAUUACACCAACCUAACACUCGUGCAUGCUAUGUUUCCUUGUUGUGCGAGAGCAAGUACGGUGAACAUACUCUGCCGCUAUGGCUCUUCCACAAAUCAAUAAGUGGCUGGUCGUCUUACCAUCUUAUGUUUCGGGUAUACUGGAUAUCGGAAUCCGUUCCAAACAACCUCUUAUAGAUAUCACACUAAACAUUACUAAAAGAGAUCAAUGCCCAUUAUAAAACAUCAAAAUAGAGAGAUACAUAUUUCACAGAACAUCACCGUAGAAAUUCAUUAAAUUUAAGAGUUUACUCGCUCGUAUCAUCCAAUACGGUUGGUUUUUCUCUUAAACGAUUCUUAAGCGUCGAGAGUCUUUUGAAGGCCGAAUAACCUUUGAUAAUAUAUUCCGUAAUGCAUACUUUAUUACGCUCAAAAUUCUUCAUUACAUUUG